GGGACCUACCCGGUAGUGGGGGGAAACGUUCGGAACGGACGCUAAUACCGCAUACGUCCUACGGGAGAAAGCAGGGGACCUUCGGGCCUUGCGCUAUCAGAUGAGCCUAGGUCGGAUUAGCUAGUUGGUGAGGUAAUGGCUCACCAAGGCUACGAUCCGUAACUGGUCUGAGAGGAUGAUCAGUCACACUGGAACUGAGACACGGUCCAGACUCCUACGGGAGGCAGCAGUGGGGAAUAUUGGACAAUGGGCGAAAGCCUGAUCCAGCCAUGCCGCGUGUGUGAAGAAGGUCUUCGGAUUGUAAAGCACUUUAAGUUGGGAGGAAGGGCAUUAACCUAAUACGUUAGUGUUUUGACGUUACCGACAGAAUAAGCACCGGCUAACUCUGUGCCAGCAGCCGCGGUAAUACAGAGGGUGCAAGCGUUAAUCGGAAUUACUGGGCGUAAAGCGCGCGUAGGUGGUUUGUUAAGUUGAAUGUGAAAUCCCCGGGCUCAACCUGGGAACUGCAUCCAAAACUGGCAAGCUAGAGUAUGGUAGAGGGUAGUGGAAUUUCCUGUGUAGCGGUGAAAUGCGUAGAUAUAGGAAGGAACACCAGUGGCGAAGGCGACUACCUGGACUGAUACUGACACUGAGGUGCGAAAGCGUGGGGAGCAAAACAGGAUUAGAUACCCUGGUAGUCCACGCCGUAACGAUGUCAACUAAGCCGUUGGGAGUCUUGAACUCUUAGUGGCGCAGCUACGCAUUAAGUUGACCGCCUGGGGAGUACGGCCGCAAGGUUAAAACUCAAAUUGAAUUGACGGGGGCCCGCACAAGCGGGUGGAGCAUGUGGUUUUAUUCGAAGCCACCGCGGAAGAACCUUACUCAGGCUUGAACAUUCCAAUGAAGCUUUUCUAGAGAUAUGAUUGGGUGCCUUCGGGAACCAUGAAGACCAGGGUGCCUGCAUUGGCCUUGUACGUUCAGCUCCGUGUCC
rnacentral:rRNA from 1 species